rnacentral:rRNA from 1 species
UAUCUGCCCUUUGGCCUGGAAUAACACGAGGAAACUUGUGCUAAUACCGGAUAAGUCUUCACGGAGAAAGCUUUAUGCACCAUUGGAUGAGCCUGCACUUGAUUAGUUUGUUGGUGGGGUAAUGGCCUACCAAGACUGUGAUCAAUAGCUGAUUUGAGAGGAUGAUCAGCCACAUUGGGACUGAGACACGGCCCAAACUCCUACGGGAGGCAGCAGUGGGGAAUCUUGCACAAUGGAGGAAACUCUGAUGCAGCGAUGCCGCGUGAGUGAAGAAGGCCCUUGGGUUGUAAAGCUCUUUCGUCGGGGAAGAAAAUGACUGUACCCGAAUAAGAAGGUCCGGCUAACUUCGUGCCAGCAGCCGCGGUAAUACGAAGGGACCUAGCGU